rnacentral:rRNA from 1 species
CUGAGAGGAUGAUCAGUCACACUGGAACUGAGACACGGUCCAGACUCCUACGGGAGGCAGCAGUGGGGAAUAUUGGACAAUGGGCGAAAGCCUGAUCCAGCCAUGCCGCGUGUGUGAAGAAGGUCUUCGGAUUGUAAAGCACUUUAAGUUGGGAGGAAGGGCAGUAAGUUAAUACCUUGCUGUUUUGACGUUACCAACAGAAUAAGC